AUUAGUGGCGAACGGGUGAGUAACACGUGGGCAAUCUGCCCUGCACUCUGGGACAAGCCCUGGAAACGGGGUCUAAUACCGGAUAUCACUCUUGCAGGCAUCUGUGAGGGUCGAAAGCUCCGGCGGUGCAGGAUGAGCCCGCGGCCUAUCAGCUUGUUGGUGAGGUAAUGGCUCACCAAGGCGACGACGGGUAGCCGGCCUGAGAGGGCGACCGGCCACACUGGGACUGAGACACGGCCCAGACUCCUACGGGAGGCAGCAGUGGGGAAUAUUGCACAAUGGGCGAAAGCCUGAUGCAGCGACGCCGCGUGAGGGAUGACGGCCUUCGGGUUGUAAACCUCUUUCAGCAGGGAAGAAGCGAAAGUGACGGUACCUGCAGAAGAAGCGCCGGCUAACUACGUGCCAGCAGCCGCGGUAAUACGUAGGGCGCAAGCGUUGUCCGGAAUUAUUGGGCGUAAAGAGCUCGUAGGCGGCUUGUCACGUCGGGUGUGAAAGCCCGGGGCUUAACCCCGGGUCUGCAUUCGAUACGGGCUAGCUAGAGUGUGGUAGGGGAGAUCGGAAUUCCUGGUGUAGCGGUGAAAUGCGCAGAUAUCAGGAGGAACACCGGUGGCGAAGGCGGAUCUCUGGGCCAUUACUGACGCUGAGGAGCGAAAGCGUGGGGAGCGAACAGGAUUAGAUACCCUGGUAGUCCACGCCGUAAACGGUGGGAACUAGGUGUUGGCGACAUUCCACGUCGUCGGUGCCGCAGCUAACGCAUUAAGUUCCCCGCCUGGGGAGUACGGCCGCAAGGCUAAAACUCAAA
rnacentral:rRNA from 1 species